rnacentral:rRNA from 1 species
ACUGCUCAGUAACACGUGGCCAGUCUGCCCUAGAGACAGGGAUAACCUCGCGAAAGUGAGGAUAACACCUGAUAGGUGAAGAGUCCUGGAAUGGUUCCUCGCUCAAAGGAUACAGGACACAUGCUGUUUUGUGUUGCUCUAGGAUGAGGCUACGGCUGAUCAGGUAGUUGGUGGGGUAACGGCCUACCAAGCCUAUAACCAGUACGGGCCGUGAGAGCGGGAGCCCGGAGAUGGGCACUGAGACAAGGGCCCAGGCCCUACGGGGCGCAGCAGGAGCGAAACCUCCGCAAUGCGCGAAAGCGCGACGGGGCCACCCCGAGUGCCAUCCGUUAAGGAUGGCUUUUCAUCAGUCUAAGAAGCUGAUGGAAUAAGCGGGGGGCAAGCCUGGUGUCAGCCGCCGCGGUAAUACCAGCUCCGCGAGUGGUCGGGACGUUUAUUGGGUCUAAAGCGUCCGUAGCCGGCUUACUAAGUCUCCGGCUAAAACCCACGGCUCAACCGUGGGAUCGCCGAAGAUACUGAUAGGCUUGGGGGCGGAAGAGGCCGAGGGUACUUCCGGGGUAGGGGCGAAAUCCUAUAAUCCCGGAAGGACCACCAGUGGCGAAGGCGCUCGGCUAGUACGCGCCCGACGGUGAGGGACGAAAGCUGGGGGAGCGAACCGGAUUAGAUACCCGGGUAGUCCCAGCUGUAAACGAUGCAGACUAGGUGUUGGAUAGGCUUCGGGCCUAUCCAGUGCCGCAGUGAAGACAAUAAGUCUGCCACCUGGGGAGUACGGCCGCAAGGCUGAAACUUAAAGGAAUUGGCGGGGGAGCAC